GGAGGCUUCCGUUAUCAGGAAAAGAUGCUGUAGUGAUCUUUUCUGAGUGUCUCCUACUUGCGACAAGGUGGACUUGGGAGGAAAGCCGUCUGCCAAAGCCUGAAGCCUCCAAGCCAUAAACAACCCCAAUGGCCUCCCACGAAGUUGAUAAUGCAGAGCUGGGGUCAGCCUCUGCCCAUGGUACCCCAGGCAGUGAGGCGGGACCAGAUGAGCUGAAUACUUCUGUCCACCAGCCCAUAGAUGGAUCACCAGAUUAUCAGAAAGCAAAAUUACAAGUUCUUGGGGCCAUCCAGAUCCUGAAUGCAGCAAUGAUUCUGGCUUUGGGUGUCUUUCUGGGUUCCUUGCAAUACCUGUACCACGUCCAAAAGCACUUUUUCUUCACCUUCUACACAGGCUACCCGAUUUGGGGUGCUGUGUUUGUGAGUAUUCAUACUCCCCUGGCUGUAUGUUAUUUCUUAGAUACCACUGCUGGAGAUGUGUUUG
rnacentral:sRNA from 1 species